rnacentral:rRNA from 1 species
UACGUAGGGGGCUAGCGUUGUCCGGAUUUAUUGGGCGUAAAGGGCGCGUAGGCGGCCUGUCAAGUCAACUGUGAAAUCUCCGGGCUUAACUCGGAACGGUCAGUUGAUACUGUCAGGCUAGAGUGCAGAAGGGGCAAUCGGAAUUCUUGGUGUAGCGGUGAAAUGCGUAGAUAUCAAGAGGAACACCUGAGGUGAAGACGGGUUGCUGGGCUGACACUGACGCUGAGGCGCGAAAGCCAGGGGAGCAAACGGG